GUUUCCAUUAAACCACCCCUGUCUACGUGGUCUCGUCCAUUGGCAGCCCGCGAAACGCCCCUAUUUUCACGCGGUGGUAUGGCCGCGCGAUUUCCCAGGAGAACCAGGUAGCGUACGCAUGGUGGAACUGUGGCAAAACUUAUGAACGGAAUAUUCGCUGCUUACGAAAUGCCGGGACGUGAAUGCACGGAGUGGCAGGUUUUGCGCACAAGAUGAUUUUCUGCUGUGGUCUCCUGGCAGGUUAUCCCGAACCUUUUUGAACAG